UCCCUGGUGUUCUAGUGGCUAGGACUCAGCACUCUCACUGCUGUGGCCCGGGUUCAAUUCCUGGCCAGGGAA